UAUGGUCAAUUUGAACAUGUCCAUAUGUUAAAAAUCAGAAAAAUGCUACUGUGAUGUUUGAUGAAAUAACCAUGAAAGGAAAAUCCAAGUUCACUUUGACUACAAUUCUAAGUUCCUAUCUUCGCAAGAAUGGUGAUGCCUGAGAAGAAUUACAAGCCUUGACCCUUUUAUUUAGGAAAGGCAAGAAGAACAAUAUGUUUGGUACCAUUUCUAUUAUUUCCUGCUAAAGCUCCUGCACAUGCCCCGGUUUCGAAAGGAGGUUCAUCUAAGACUGAUGAUGGAAGCAAGUCAUCGUCGUCGAAGGAUGAUGAUGAUGAAAACAAAUACUUGCCUUCUGUAAUUUUAUGAAAUUGCUAAUUUGUUUGUUGUUGUGGAAUUUGGCAGUCAAAAAUUGAUGGAUGAAAUCAAGGAUUUGGUUACAUCGUCAUCCGGAUAAGCUCUCUAUGGAGACAAUUAAAGUUGAAAACAAAGACUAUGAUCAAUAACAGUGCAACAAGCAAUGGUGUCUCUCUCACACUUGGCCCACAUCAAAAGAAAUAUGAAAGACAUGACUUUUAUAGUAAUAAAGCUUCUACUUGAUCUCUAUUGGAUGUAUAAUUCUCUUUAACUCAGACAAUCAAUUUAUUAUGAGCAGCUAGAAUUUUCACAUUAAGACUAGAUGAGCUUUUUAGAUCUAC